UGUUAUAAAUUUCUGUUGUAGCUGAAAAAAAAAAAAAAAAAAAAAUGUAGGAAAAAAAAAAGGGAAAAAAAAAAAAGCGAAAAAAAAAAAAAAAAAGAAGGGAAAAAAAAAGGGAAAAAAAAAAAAAAAGGGGUAGAACAGGAUAAGGCAUAAUUUAUUCUCUUUUUAAAAUUACUAUGAAAUAAUAAAGUUGAUACAUUUUAUUUACACAUAGUUGAACGUCGUAAUGUGCAAGUUGUGGUCUCUUUUCAUUUUUACAAUUGUGAAUUAUUAACUAUAUUUUUUUUAUGACACAUAAAAAUACGAUACUAUUCUCACGAUUUGUUAAUUUUAUUUGUACAUCCUUUUAUUAAUGCAUACUUUUGUUAGUAUAUUAUUUUUGUCCCCACUAUAAGAACAAUUAAUUAUUUUAUUUUAUUUUUUUUUUUUUUUUUGUUUUAUACAUUAAUAAGUCAUUAUUUAAAAAAAAAAAAAAAAAGUAAAACCACAAUAUUGUUUAACUAAACCUUGAAAUUAGCACCAGUAUUAUAUAUUAAGUUUGACGUUUGUUUUGUCUGAUUAUUGUUUUGACCUGAUAAGCUAUAAAGAAUAACAUAUAAGAAAUAAAAAAAAAAAAAAAAUGGAUGACACAAACGAAAGUAUUUCAAAUGAUAAAGGGCUAAAUAUGAAGAUUAUCCAGUUUAUAUUAAAAAAGUCAGAAGAGUUAGAGAAAGAACAUUUGUUAGUUUCAUUUCUAUGCACACUCUACAUUGUCGAGCAGUUAAGCGAGUAUAUGAAAAAGAGCAAGGUAGAUACAGAGACGAAACAAAUUUUAAUAAAAUGUUUAGAUAAAGCGGAGAAAACUAGACCUUUAUUUGAUAAGCUGGAUUAUAAUAAGUUAGCUGUUUUUUGCGAAGGCCUAUUUGCAGCAGCUGAUAAAAAUGAUCGCACCAAUAAAAUAGAUAAAAGAACAUUAAGGAUGUUUUUUUCAUGUAAAAUUUUUUAUGAAAUAUUAAAUCAUUUUAGAACAUUAAAUGAAGAAGAAAAAAAAAAAUUGAUAUAUGCGAAAUAUAAAACUGUAUAUAUUCAAAAGUGUUUUGAAAAUAAUAUAGAGCCAAAGCCAGGUUCUCCAGUACGAGAAACAAAAGAAAAGUCCAGUUCAGGUAGUAAUAAAAUUAGUGACAAACAAAUAGAUUUUACGUUAAGUUUAAAACAUGCUCAAUACGCUGUAAAUGGUUAGGAAAUUUUGCAAAGGCACAAUGACACGUUAUGUACAUGUAUGUACUUAUAUAUAUAUAUAUAUAUAUAUAUAUAUAUAUAUAUACAUAUGCAUAUACAUAUUUGUUUUCUUUUGCUAUUUUUUUAGCGCUAAUGUUUGAAGAUCUUAAGACCGCAACACACGAAUUAAAAACUGCCUUGAGUUACUUAGGUGAGUGAGUAGGGUUUUCAGCUAUUAUGUAUAACUUAAUAUAAUACCACUGCUAUGUACGCAUUGGGUAUAUAUUUCAUUGGCUUAAAAAAAAAAAAAAAAAAAAAAAAAAAAAAAAAAAACAUUUAUAUAAAUAUGUACCAUUCAUGGUGUGCUUGUGGUUACUCAACUAGUAAUAAAACUUUUUUUUUAUUCA
rnacentral:lncRNA from 1 species